rnacentral:rRNA from 1 species
AACGAACGCUGGCGGCAUGCCUAACACAUGCAAGUCGAACGAGACCUUCGGGUCUAGUUGCGCACGGGUGCGUAACGCCUGGGAAGCUGCCCUUAGGUUCGGUAUAACUCCCCGAAAGGGGUGCUAAUACCGGUUAAUGUCUUCGGACCAAAGAUUUUUGGCCAUUGGAUGGGCCCGCGUUGGAUUAGCUGGUUGGUAGGGUAAAAGCCUACCAAGGCGACGAUCCUUGGCUGGUGUGAGAGGAUGCUAAGCCACGAUGGAGAUGCGACACGGACUAGACUGCUACGGGAGGGAGCAGAGGGGAAUAUUGGACGAUGGACGCAAGCCUGAUCCAGCAAUGCCGCGUAAGUGAUGCAGGCCGUAGGAUUGUAAAGCUCUUUUACCCGAGAUGAUAAUGACAGUAACGGGAGAAUAAGCUCCGGCUAACUCCGUG